rnacentral:rRNA from 2 species
CCUACGGGUGGCUGCAGUGGGGAAUUUUGGACAAUGGGCGCAAGCCUGAUCCAGCCAUGCCGCGUGCGGGAAGAAGGCCUUCGGGUUGUAAACCGCUUUUGUCAGGGAAGAAAAGCUCUGGGCUAAUACCUCGGGGUGAUGACGGUACCUGAAGAAUAAGCACCGGCUAACUACGUGCCAGCAGCCGCGGUAAUACGUAGGGUGCGAGCGUUAAUCGGAAUUACUGGGCGUAAAGCGUGCGCAGGCGGUUGUGCAAGACAGAUGUGAAAUCCCCGGGCUUAACCUGGGAACUGCAUUUGUGACUGCACGGCUAGAGUGUGGCAGAGGGGGAUGGAAUUCCGCGUGUAGCAGUGAAAUGCGUAGAUAUGCGGAGGAACACCGAUGGCGAAGGCAAUCCCCUGGGCCUGCACUGACGCUCAUGCACGAAAGCGUGGGGAGCAAACAGGAUUAGAUACCCCGGUAGUC